rnacentral:tRNA from 1 species
GUUGGUGUGGCUCAGUGGUAGAGUGCUUUGUGUGUAUGACAUCCUGGGUUCAAAUCCCAACUGCUCCC